ACGAACGCUGGCGGCGUGCCUAAUACAUGCAAGUAGAACGCUGAAGAGAGGAGCUUGCUCUUCUUGGAUGAGUUGCGAACGGGUGAGUAACGCGUAGGUAACCUGCCUUGUAGCGGGGGAUAACUAUUGGAAACGAUAGCUAAUACCGCAUAACAAUGGAUGACACAUGUCAUUUAUUUGAAAGGGGCAAUUGCUCCACUACAAGAUGGACCUGCGUUGUAUUAGCUAGUAGGUGAGGUAAUGGCUCACCUAGGCGACGAUACAUAGCCGACCUGAGAGGGUGAUCGGCCACACUGGGACUGAGACACGGCCCAGACUCCUACGGGAGGCAGCAGUAGGGAAUCUUCGGCAAUGGGGGCAACCCUGACCGAGCAACGCCGCGUGAGUGAAGAAGGUUUUCGGAUCGUAAAGCUCUGUUGUAAGUCAAGAACGGGUGUGAGAGUGGAAAGUUCACACUGUGACGGUAGUUUACCAGAAAGGGACGGCUAACUACGUG
rnacentral:rRNA from 1 species